AUAAUGCUGAAAAUACAAUUUAUUUUUUUCUUCUUGACCAAAUUAGUUUAGAGAAAGAAGUGAGAGGUGUAGAGAGAGAGAAGUUCGGCCAAGCUAGGGCUUGAGGAAGAAAUUAAGGGUUCAAGUGUGGUGAUUAUUCAAGGUCAUGGAAGCAAGGAUGGAGUCAUUAGGGCAGUAAAAACAUUGUUGAUCAAGUCCUCAAGUUUCCAAGCAAAUUGUGUCAUUAAAGCUUAAGCAACAACAAUUUUAAUCCAGCCAGUGCCCAUUCUCCAUCUUCGGCAUCAUCCAGCGAAACACCACCUACAAGGUUUUGAUUAUUGAAAGAUAUUUAUUCAGCUUGCCACUUUGCCUUGUUAACUGCUGAACCAACUUGUUAUGAAGAGGUUUCGGAGCAACCUGAGUGGAAAAAUUUAAUAAUUGAAGAGAUUCAAUCCAUUGAGUAAAAGAAAAUCUGGGAGUGGGUUGAUUUUCCUAAAGGGAAGAAUGUUACUGGGGUGAAAUGGAUUUUCAAAAUGAAGUACAAUGCUGAUGAAAGUUGUUAAAAUUGACAAGAUUCUAGUUGAAUUAGUGUAAAUAUUUGGUAGAAAGAUAAUUUUUCAUUGGUACAAAAACUUAAGGUAGUAACGUUGUAGGUGAAAGUUUGGUAAAUCAUAAAAUGGUUACAAAAGUUAAACCUUGACAUUUUGAUACAUAGUGAUGUCAUGGAUGACAUCAAAAAAAGAAUUUAUUCCUAUAAAUAGAUAGCUCCUAAUUAAUUUAAAACACACCUCUCACUUUCCUUUCUCAUAGUUUAAGAUAUUUGUAAAAUACAUUAGAAGAGUAGAGAGUUAAGAAAGCAAUUCUCUUAGAUGUAUUUGGGAUCUCUUCUCCUUCUUUGUUAAUAUAAAGACAGUUGUUCUCUGGUGGAUGUAGAAUCAUUCUGAUCCGAACCAUGUUAAAUAUUGUUGUUCUUCCUUGUUCUUUAUAUUUUUCCUUCAUGUUUUCGCUAAUAGAAGUGCCGAAAGGCAUAAUGCUCAACUUGUUGCAAGAACAUACUCCCAGCAAGGAACAGGAACUGACCUUGAAGAGAUAUUCUCACCGGUAGCUCGCUUUCAAACGGUUACAAUUACUCUACUCUUGGCUUCUUAACUUGGUUGGCCUAUGUUCCAAUUUGAUAUUAAGUCUACACGCCUUCCUAAAUGGUGACUUAAAUGAAGGAGUAUAUGUCUACCAACCUGAAGGCUUCAUCUCUAGUGAAUGAAAGAUCAAAACAUACAGAUUAAAGAAGGCACUGUACGGCCUAAAGCAAGCUCCAUGAGCAUGGUAUAUAAUAUUUUAUUCUUUUUUUAAAUAGCAGUAGUUCAGAAUAAGUGAAAAUGAACCUACACUUUAUGUGAAAAAGCAAGGUACUGGUGAUUUUCUGGUUGUUUGUCUUUUUGUCGAUGAUAUUAUAUAUAUGGGCUUUGGUAAAUUUAUUGUUUCUGACUUUUAAGAGUUGCAUGAUGAGUAAAUUGGUGAUUUUCUGGUUGUU